CAGCCGGCUCUUCGAGACCCUCGGGGGAGGGGGCGGGGAGGAUAAAGCACGAGAGCUGGAGUGGCAGAACAAGAAAGCCAGGGAUCGGGAGAGGAAUGAUGAGGUCAGGAUCCCAGACGGUUCCGAAAGCAGCGUGGGCACCGCAAUUGUCAGUUACCGUUGCCAGUGGGAGGAGGGUCCCGUGGGACGGAGCUGGGCUGGGAAUCCUGACAGCGGGUUCCAGGUCCCGCUCAGUCCCUCGGUUGAUUCGAGGCCUCAGGCAAAGCUCCUUGAGCUUUGGCUUUCUGGAUGUGGAAUGCAAAGGCUGGACUGGAGAGAGCUGGUCUUCCACCACGCUGGGACACUCAGGACUUCCGCAGGCCAAUCUUACACCUGUGACUCAGACAUGGCCUUCCUUUGGGGAACAUGAAAUCCUGUUGGAGCUGCAGCCCUAAUGACUUGCACACUUGGAACCGAGGGCUGGCAGGGUGGACAGCCAAGGAGAUGGAGCUCACCCCGUGGACCCCGGAGCUGACAGAAGCGAGGUCAGCAGCGCUGGCUCUGGAGAGACCUUGGAGACCGCCUAGCCAGCAGUUCUCCACCCUGGCUGCACCUAGACUCACCUGGGAGCUUUAAAAAAGAUACCCGUGUCUGAUUCCACCCCGGAAGCUUACUUGAACUGUCUCGGUAAGGCCCUUGUAUCACUAUUAAAAAAAAGGAAAGUCGGGAGAGUCUACUGUGCAGCCAGGUAGCGAUCCAUGACUUCGUCCAGACUUUUCAUUUUACAGGUAAGAGAACUGAGGCCCCCAAAGGUGAUGUCACCUGCCCCGAUUUUCACAGCUAAGAAAGGCAAGGGUCUUCUGACCCUCCCACCCGACUCCUGGCCGAUGCUCGCUCUGCUGAGAUAGAUGCCUGUCAGCAGGAGUGCCUUCAUGGCCCGACUUCUGCCCCUUCCCAUGAAGAGGGGACUCAGUGGUUACUCCCUAACAUGUCCAUUUGGAGCUUAGCACCCUCCAGAGAGGUUCAUCCCAGCCUGCAGAAUAUUUUGUAAAAGCCUGAAGAGAGAUUAGACAUAUAAAUAACUCCUCUUCAUGGAAACACGCACAUUGAGUGUCCCCCAACCCGACACCCACACCCACACGUCCACAAGCACACAAAGACUCAGUGUUCCUUCACUCGUAUUUGAUAGCAGGUGGCUUUGUUUCUGAAACUUAGUCACUGCUAAUAGUAAAAAAAUGUGCAGUGGAAAAAGUGAACCAAGUGGGCACCACCGCUGAAAUUCCAUUCCAGGAGCAUCCCCUUGGAUCCUGGUGGGGGCAGGCAUUUCUUAGGAAGCUUGGACUUCACACACAUUUGACUGAACACCACGGGCUGGGGAUGGUGAAAGUGAACCCUGAUGUGGAGAAAGCAGGCAAAAGGAUGUAUGUCUCUCUUUACGGGAGAAAUCCGGUUUGU
rnacentral:lncRNA from 1 species